CAGGUGUGCCUGAGCAGUCCUGCUGGUCCCGGAGGGUGUUCUGAGGAAGCGACUUCCAAACCAGGAAGGACCAAGACUCAACGGUGCUCGUAGGUCCUGCUGACGGGGGACACCGCAGAGCCUGCCAUGGACCCGCGUCUCCUGCUGCAACAGAACCCUUGCUUUUCUCAUGGCUGCGGCUUCUGGUAGACUUUUGGCAGACACGCUCCACAGGUUUGCUGAUGUCCCUUGGUGAGCAGUUUUCCGGUCACAUGUCCUGUUCGGCCUCAGCGCAGCUACUGAGGCUCUUUAUCACUUUGAAAAUGGCCAUUGUCUCCUGUGUUUUUUCUAUUUUGAGAUGAUUCUGACAUGGGAAGAAGAUUUACAAAAACAGGCUGGAGAGUUCCUUCUGCCCUCUGUGAACCCAGGUUCCUCCUCUGCUCCCAUCUUAUGUAACCACAGAACAGCUGUCAAACCCAAGACGUUAAACUGUCACCCUCAGCUUCCUCCGUCCCAAGGACACCGCAUGGGACCCUGUGCCACCCGCCGACAUUCUGUCUUCCCAGGCCCCUCUUGAUGGGGACGGUUCCUCAGACUUGUCUCCUUCUUGACCUGGGGGUUUCGGCGGCCUUUGGGUCGGUUUCCGUGGCUGUAACGGGACGCCUGACGCUGCGUCGUUCAUCAGGUGCAGCCUUUUACCCCCCGGUCCUGGAGCCUGAGACCCCUCAGGCCAAGGUGCCCACAGGUUCAGUCCGUGGUAAUCAGUGGCGCUUUGCUGCUGUGUCCUGUGGGGAUGGGGGACCUGUGUAUUCACCUGCUGAAGGUGCCGGGAGGGGGACACUGCCCAGCCCUUGGGUAACAGCAGUGACCUCGUGAGGGUGGAGCCCUCGAGAGGCCAGCGGGGCACCUCCCAAAGGCUACCUCUCCAAUACUGCUGCACUGGGGAACAUGGGCCUUUGGGGGACAAUUCGGACCACAGCAACCCGUCAGCCAGCUUGGAGGAUGCUGCUCCAUUCCCAGGAUUUUGUUCUGGGAAUCAGACUGGUCUUGGGUUUGGGGACAAGGCCACAGAGGAAAGUGUCUUUCUGGGGACUUGGGUUCAGGGUAUGUACUGUCCACAGGACUUAUCACGGCAGCUGGUGACCUUGAGACUUUCCUGUCCCCGGGGGCUCUCCUUGGAAGGAGGUCCUGAGCAGGACCCUCAAGGCAGUGGGUGGGCUGGGUCUACUUCCUGAUCUAGAGUCUUCUGCAUGGCAGAGCGGCCUGCUCUGUGCCCUUAGCUACUCUCCAGUCACUUACUGACCUCAGGCUGCACUUGCAGAUGUUGACUGUGUGCUUUGAGCACCGGUCAGUCCUGUCCACUCUGUGCUCUGCUGCUCCAACUGUGGUCAUCAGAGGCCCCGCCGUGGGCUUCUGCGCCCCGACACCCCCAUCAUGGGGGCCCUUUUCUUCCUAGUAUUUUCUUAUGACUCUCCAAGGUGUCACUCUGUAAGAUUAUCUUAUAUGUCCCCUGUCCCAGCCCCAGAGUCACCAGUUCUCCUGGGGUCCUCGUUGCUUUUACUGAAGAAGGCCAUGCGCUACUAGGUGUGUCUUUUUAAAGUUGAUUAUAAGUCGAUUAUCCUGGGUUUUUUGGCUAUUUAGUCAGUCUGCCUAAUUUUUUUUUAAAAAAGACGAAUAAUUUAACUACUUUAUUUCAAUGUUUAUACACAUCCAUUCUUCUUUCUAACUGCAUUUUAAACUCACGUUUGUGUGUGCAUACAUACAUACAUGCACACACACACACACAUACACACACAUAUGUAUAUUUUUAAAAUAGUGCUGGGAAUUCAACCCAGGGCCCCUAGCACACUAGGCAACGGCUCUCCCAUUGAGCUACGUCUCUCACUCUAUUUUAAUAAUUCAAAGCAGGCGACACAGUCACAUAAAACUCAUAAGAGGGGCCGGGGCUGUGGCUCGGUGGUAAAGCACUUGCCCAGCAUGUGUGGGGCCCUGGGUUUGAUCCUGGGCACCACCUAAAAAUAUAUAAAUAAAACAAAGGUAUUAUAUUGUUUAAAUAUAAACAAUAUUUAAAAAAAAAAAAAGCUCAUGAGAUACAGAAGAGUAAAUGACGUUUCACAUUUUUGUUAACUUUGUCUGUUUUGUGGAGCUGGGGAUUGAACCCACGGUCUCCUGCACACUAGGCAAACACUCUACCCAGGGCUACAUCCACAGCCCUGUAUGUGAGUUUUUCAUCUUGUUUUUAUUUUCUUCUUCUUCUUUUAUAUAUAUUUACUUUCUUUAUUUUUAUGUGGUGCUGAGGAUUGAACCCAGUGCCUCACAAGUGCGAGGCAAGUGCUCUGCCGCUGAGCUACAACCCCAGCCCCUCUUCUUCUUCUUCUUUUUAACCUAACAUUGUAUCUUGAGCAUUUCCCCAUAUGAUUAGUGGUUCUCCAAAAGCCUCAUUUGGGGGCUGCAGAUACAGCUCAGUGGCAGAGUACAUCCUUAGCGUGCAUGAGCCCUGAGUUUGAUUCCAAGCACUGCAGAAGGGGGGCGGGCAGGCAUAAUGUUGAUAGCUGCUUAACGACUCCUCUUGUGAAUGUACUGCAGUACAUCCCUUUUCCAGUGUUAGGCCUGGUGAAGUAACUACCUACUCUGUUUUGAGUCUUUCAGGUUAUAGCCGUGUACAGCCGUUUCACCAAACCCUGGCUGAGACUUACUGAGACUCCAGAUUACACAGGCCAAGGGUGACCUCCAACUCUGCUCCUCCUGGGAGAGUGGGGAUUUGGGAUGAGUGUUCUUGCCUUCCUCCUCCUUCCUUCCACUUCCUUCCUUCCUCCUCCUCCUCCUCCGCCUGCUCCUUCCUGUGGUGCUGAAGAGCACACCCAGGGCCUGGUGCAUGCUAGGCAAGUGCUCUACUACUGAGUUGUACCCCUUGUUUCCUCUUUAUAAUUCACCGGGUAUUUAUUCAUUGCCUUAGUCCAUUUUCUGUUAUUACUAUAACAAAAUUCCUGAGGUUGGGGACUCUAUAAAGAAAAGAGGUUUGUUUAGCUCACAUUCUGGAGAUCCAAGAGCAUGGCUCAGGCCUCUGGUGAAGGCAUUGUGGCAAAAGGACUCCACAGUGAAAAAAAGAGCAAAAGAAAAGCAAGGAAGCUGAGUCUUCUUUAGAGCCACCCGCUCCUGUGAUGACUAAUCCACUCUUUGGGACCUGCAUGAAUCUCUUUGCGAAGGAGGAUCCCUCGAGGGCCUCUGAAAGACCUCACACCCCUCAACACGGUUUUUGGGGACCAAGACCCAACACGACUUUUGCCAGGGACAAACCACAUCUGGACUGUAGCCGCCAUCAUUCAUUUCUUCAUCCCACCGGUAUUUAUUGAGCACCUACUGUGUGCCAGGCACUGUCCUAUGAACUCUCAAUACCAAAAGAGACCCCUGCCUUCAUGGAGGUCACGCUUCAGAGAAGAGAGGCACUGAAAGAAAAUGCAGAGCAAGGGGCACGGGGAGAGCACCUCGUGGGGAUGUGAGACCCCCGCAAAGACCAGAAGGAAGGAAGGGUGGGGCCAAGGGGACCUCUGGAGGAAUACACAGUGAAGUGACCGGACUGAGAAUGAGCCCAUCAUUUUUUUGCUUGUUUGUUUGUUUUAGGCAGAAAAGUGUUUUUCCAGGUCCUUUGAAGUUGCAAAACUGUCUUCUGAUCUCUGUAAAGAACAGGGGAACCUGGAGCCGAUUCUCUCCUGAGACAACGGCAGAGGACCUUGCUCCUUCCCACACUCUCCACAUCCCGCAGGGCCGCGGGCAGGGCCCAGGAUGGGUGGCUCUGUGACAGUGUCCACGCUGACCCCAACAGACAGCAGGAGGCUGAAAACAAGAAAAGGGCUGACUCUGGCUUCCAAAGUGGGAACUCUGCGCCCCACAGAGAGGGAGCAGGUGCUGCGCGGCUUCGGGGCUGAGUUUGGCCCAGAGUUGAGAAUCAGCCCUGAGGAAUACGGAGGUAGAAAGCACCAGUCCCUAAAGGUAUUAGUCCCUGGGUCCUUACACUCUUUUUUCGGGGGAUGUAGCUCAGUUGGUAGAGUGCUUUUUUUGUUACCGAGGAUUGAACCCAGGGGUUCUUAACCACUGAGCCACAUCCCAGCCCUUUCUAUUUUUCACUUUGAGACAGGGUCUCGCUAAGUUGCUUAGGGCCUCACUAAAUUGCUGGUACUGUGAGCGUGCAAUUGUUUUAUUGUUGUCACUUUUACAUGAAUAAAUAACUAGUGAGAUUCUGUCUCAAGGUCUAACAUGGUCAACGGAGCGCUCUUGGGAUCUGUGAGAGUGUUCCGGGCGGGGCAUGGCGCAACCUGUAAUGUCCGCGACUUGGGAGGCUGAGGCAGGAGGAUUGCCCGUUCAAUGCCAGCCUCGGCGACUUAGCCAAGCGUCAGAAGGGACCCACUUGGACCAUACGGCCCCCUUUGGAGCAAGUGUGAAAGGGUCAAAAGCAUGUGCCCUGGACAGCAGGAAAGGCCAGCUGCUGUAGAGACGGCGUGGCAGGAAACAGCCCUGGAAUCGGGUUGAGUGGAGAAGGCCCACGAACUCAGCUCAGCAGCAAGAUCGGAGGAGCUGGCCCCGCGAGAGGAGAGGAAAGUGGUGGUGAGGGGCAGAGGAGUCGAGUCACGCGGGAGAGUUCCGCUGAGGAAAGCAUUUGGGUGUGGUGACUUACCCAGGGGACCAGGGACAGACGAUCAGAAGCCUGCCACUCCUCUGAGGGAAUCGCAUCGCCAAAGAGGCCACAGGAACAGACCACAAAACCCUGUACUGUCCAGACAUUAAAACCAAAAUGUGCCGGUGCAGUGGCCCGUGCCUGUAAUCCCAGCGACUCCGGAGGCUGGGGCAGGAGGACCAAAGGUUCAAGGCCAGCCUCAGCAACCUAGUGAGGCCCUGAGCAACUCAGUGAGACCCUGUCUCUAGAUAAAAAAUAAAAGGACUGGGAUGUGGCUCAAGGGAAAAGUGCCCCAAAUUAAAUCCUCAGCACAAAAAAACAAGGAGGGUCUCCCCUGUGGAGAGCUGGCCUUGCCGGGCGGCACCCAGGGCUCCGGGCCAACAGGGCGAAAACAGAGGAGAAAAAACAGACCCCCAGGCUCCGCUCUCGGAGGGCAGGGAUCUGACGGCCAAAGCUGUCCAUCUCCUGAGGUGGCAUGGCGCCCUGCACGCGUGGCCCAGGUGACAGGGACAUGGAAGGGUCCCCAGGGCGGGGCCAGGGCUUAGCAAUUCUUGAGUCACUCUGCUCCUCUGCUCCAUGUCUGUCCCGUCCCCGUGUGGCUCUCUGGGGUGCGACCUGCAGACCUCUUCUCAAUUUCCAUUCGGAUUGGAUUUUGCCCUCUGAGUCGGUCUCAAUCUCUCCCAGAGGUCGUCAGCGGUGACUGUCACCGUUUCCACUCCUUCUUUUGAAUUUUGAAUUUUGGAAAUUAUGUCUUUUUUAGCUUCAGAAUUCUGUCUGUGGCCUACCUG